AUCCAGACCAGAUGUACCGCCAGGUUCCUCUCUCUGGCGUAUGGGUGCAGCAGAUACAACAUUAUGGGGGAUAUCACAAAAAAAAUAAAACUGCUCAUCUGAGGAAGAAGAGGAGAGGGUAUGUUAGCGAUUAGGACAAAACACCAGUGUUUCAAUAUGGAGAUAUUACACAAAGGCGGACCUGCUUCAACAGAAGGUGUCUAUAUUAACCUGAGCUUUAACUGUCAGGUGACAUUUUACACUGUUUCUCCUGCCUGAGCAGGUUUUACAUCGCAGAGCAGCGAGACCAGGAUGUAUAAUGCCAGGUGUAACCGCUCAGUGGAUCUCUAUUGACCGGUGGGUUAAAACGGUAAUGGAUGCCGGGAUUUUCUUCACGGACCAACACCUGCAACAUACAGAUGCGGGAAUAAACUGUACAUGGAGGAAAAAAAAUCCAUCAAAUGAUGUAAAACAUUCAGCAUUUUCAGAUGUCAAGUCAAUGCUUAAAGUGAUAUAAAGUUUUACAGAGCUUCCUAUGAUUUCCGCAAUACAGAAUCACGGAAUCACAUACGGAAUUCGCUCUAGAGUGCUGAAUUUGACGUAAUUUGACAAAUUUUGUGUGGAAACAUUUCAUUGUUUGCAGUACGCAACACGGUCACGUGAUUACGCACAGUCAACUAUAAAUAUGCAUUCUGAAUAGAGAAACCCAAAGAGACCAUCGGAGACCACAAGGGGCCCUAUCUUGCACCCAGAGCAAUUGACUUUGUCAGUGACGCAUGUAUCAUUUGUAUUUUGCAUCGGCGCACAGCAGGUUUUUCCCUCCACAGACGCACAACUAGGGAAUGAACUUGCGCUCCCUGGGCGGUUCAGUGCAAAAAAGGAGGCGUGUUGCGGCGCAAACCAUCCCUGAUGCUAUUUUGCAGUUUCAAAAAACAAUUGCGCCACUGACCAAAAAAAACUAGUCUAAAGGCAGCAUUGCGCGUGGUUCAUAUAUUUUAAGGGCGCAUGCUUGGCCAUAAUAAAUAGCGUGCACAACGCGCGCACACUUUGCUUAUCUAAUCUACACAGAUGCAACAGUUAUUUUUGCAAAUCAUAAAUUGUUACAAUAAAAAAUUGUAAAAUUGCUCUGCUGGCGUCAGGUCAUGUGUGGAGGCAGAUCCACCUCCCGUUACACGGCGUGCCCGAUUUAUGCUGGCAAGCUUGGGAUCCCCCGUCUCCUGACAUCAUUGUAGCGCUUGGCGCAACGUCCUGGGGAUGCCAGCUGAUGAGACAAUUGUGGCUAUUUCCUCCCACGCUUGUUUAACCGACGCCGAUUUGGGCGAGUUUCUUCCAUCCACAUACAAAACAACUUCUCUGUCUUUGACUGCUCUUACAAGAACGUCGGUCUCCUCGGCUGUGAACCGCGCCUGGCGUGCGCCUGGUA